ensembl:lncRNA
AUGGCUGUCAGAUCCGUUGAUGCUGGACUGAUCCUGGUAUCACUGUUCCUGGCGGUUGACCUGUCCGUCUCCUGGGUCGUACACAUGCCCGAUGGCCCAGUUUACGCAACAGCCGGCUCCUCCAUAGUUCUCCCAUGUUCCUACGACUUUCCGGAAGAGUCUCCCGCAGGACACCAUUACAAGGUGCUCUCUGAGAUGUGGUGCUUGGACCAGAGUCAUUGCAUCACACCGAGGUACGUGUACCACAGUGCUGGGAUCUUUCCGGAGCCGACGUACCAGGGUCGAGUGGAGUACCUGGGCAGGUUGGGAAGCAGGAACUGUUCCCUGAGGAUCUCUGAGCUCAGGGUGUCUGACAGUGGUGUCUAUGUGUUUUGCUUCAUCACGGACCACCCAGUGGCCAAGCUGCCAGGACAGAGGGGGCUUACACUCCUAGUAACUGUUGAAACAGCCGAGUCAUCAAAGGGGAGCGCUGUGGUAUGGAUACUUGGCUGUCUGUUGGCAGCCAUGGUGGUUGCAGGGGCAGCGUUAUACUGCAGGAGGAGGUCCCUUCAAAGAUCAUAACAGAUAAUGACUAUGACAUAAAAACCCAGAGUAAGAAGAAAUAACAGUGAAGCCUGGUAGAGGUGUUACAUUAAGAUUGGGCAUUUAUCUAAAAGACUAACCAAAAAUGACAAGAUGAGGCGAAUUUGACCCCUAUAAGAUGGAAUCAUUGAAAAUCAGCUCAAUACUUCAAAGAUAUUAAACAUUGUAAAGUGAUAUAAAUGAAGAAUGUAUCAAGAAGGAUUUUUUUGUAUUUCUCUGUUGUCUCACACCUUAUGUUCAACUGUAUUGUAGACAUAUGACUUUGAUAUGUGCACAAAGUACAGUUUUUUAGUUUGAGUUUAUUUUAAUUGUGACCAACAUUAACUUAACAACAUUAACAUCUCAGUACUGAAUAAUGUGUUUGCAUGGUGUAUUUGAUCACUUUUUCACUUCACUAGGGUAGAGUUUUUCAGAGGUCUAGUGUGGUGGAAAAUAUGUGAAUGAAAACUCAACAACCUGUGUGUGUAGACUAUUAACAAUCAGUAUAAUAACCAGUGUGUGUAGAAUGUUAACAAUCAGUAUGGCCUCUGGGAUAUUCAUGAUAGCAAGCUGUUAGAACUGCUAUGCCACUACAUAAUGAUUUAUACCGUUGAUGUGAAUUGCAUUAUGGGUACUCUUUGUUUAAAUAUGUAUCAAGUCUGGACAUACUGAUGUAUGGAGAGUCUUACUGAACUCUCCGCAUGCCAGCUGAGGGCCUUGAGAGCCUUCCCUGUCCUACUGCACACUCAUCUUUAUCUUAAACUUGGCACAUUUUAGGCUCCCCUGUCCCGCUGCACCCGCAUUCUUCUCCUGAAUUGGGCCGUUUCCAACCAUGGGUUGCUUUAGAAUAUGCCGGGUGCGAUUGUUGGGCCUCGGCCAUAAGGGGGAGGCACUGAUGGCUGACCAAAUAUGACAUGAAAACAUUUCCGGGCCCCCAAUACUCCAAUUAAAAAGCAAUAUACGUACUGUAUAUCCUAUGGGGAGGGUCAUAGGUGGUUUAGGGUGACAAAAGGUUCUCUUCAGAUGUAUAAAACAGAAUGCAAAACUCUGUAAACUCAGUAUUGUCUUGCUGACUUGCUCAGGUUUACGCUGUUGGUAUUGCACUGGCAAAAUAAACCUUUUUUGAUCCACA